UGAGGAAUAUUGGUCAAUGGGCGGAAGCCUGAACCAGCCAUCCCGCGUGAAGGAAGAAGGCCUUAUGGGUUGUAAACUUCUUUUCUGUUUGAAGAAUAAGCUUGUCGAGACAAGUGAUGCCGGUAGGACAGGAAUGAGCAUCGGCUAACUCCGUGCCAGCAGCCGCGGUAAUACGGAGGAUGCAAGCGUUAUCCGGAUUUAUUGGGUUUAAAGGGUGCGCAGGUGGUUUAAUAAGUCAGUGGUGAAAGUCUGCCGCUUAACGGUAGGAUUGCCAUUGAUACUGUUGGACUUGAAUAUGGAUGAGGUAGGCGGAAUGUGUAGUGUAGCGGUGAAAUGCUUAGAUAUUACACAGAACACCGAUUGCGAAGGCAGCUUACUCAUCCAUGAUUGACGCUGAGGCACGAAAGCGUGGGGAU
rnacentral:rRNA from 1 species